UGCAAGUCGAACGGUGACGACCGGGCUUGCCUCGUCUGAUCAGUGGCGAACGGGUGAGUAACACGUGAGUAACCUGCCCUUGACUCUGGGAUAACCGCGGGAAACGGCGGCUAAUACCGGAUAUGAGACGUACAGGCAUCUGUUGCGUCUGGAAAGAUUUAUCGGUCAAGGAUGGGCUCGCGGCCUAUCAGCUUGUUGGUGGGGUGAUGGCCUACCAAGGCGACGACGGGUAGCCGGCCUGAGAGGGCGACCGGCCACACUGGGACUGAGACACGGCCCAGACUCCUACGGGAGGCAGCAGUGGGGAAUAUUGCACAAUGGGCGCAAGCCUGAUGCAGCGACACCGCGUGAGGGAUGAAGGCCUUCGGGUUGUAAACCUCUUUCAGCAGGGAAGAAGCGCAAGUGACGGUACCUGCAGAAGAAGCGCCGGCUAACUACGUGCCAGCAGCCGCGGUAAUACGUAGGGCGCAAGCGUUGUCCGGAAUUAUUGGGCGUAAAGAGCUCGUAGGCGGUUUGUCGCGUCUGCUGUGAAAACCUGAGGCUCAACCUCGGGCUUGCAGUGGGUACGGGCAGACUAGAGUGCGGUAGGGGUGACUGGAAUUCCUGGUGUAGCGGUGGAAUGCGCAGAUAUCAGGAGGAACACC
rnacentral:rRNA from 1 species